AGAGAACAUCACCACCCUGAAGCCAGAGACUAACCCUGAAGGACUCAGCAGCACUAUUUAAGAAACAACUGAGGCAUCAGACCAACUUUCCCCACAAGUCCUUGGAUCUUUCCCGCCAUGCUGAUGCCAUAUAUUCUAACGUGAUCAACCUGGCCCCCCAGAAGGAGGACGACUUUGCUGUCUAUGCCAACAUGCCCCCUUUUCAUCACCCCAGGAGGACAUCGCCAGACCAAGUGGAAUAUGCCUCCAUUGUAUUCCACUGAUGGAAAGCCAACGAGAUGCUCAGAGUGGGGCUCAGACCUGACCCCAGCUGGAUCUUGGCAUACCCUUUGCUUUAGAUUUAUGUGUGUGUUAAAAAAAAAUACAUAGGCCGGAAGCAGUGGCUCACACCUGUAUCCCAGCACUUUGGGAGGCUGAGGCAGGCAGAUCACGAGGUCAAGAUAUCGAGACCAUCCUGGCCAACAUGGUGAAACCCUGUCUCUACUAAAGACACAAAAAUUCACCGGGCAUGGUGGCACACACCUGUAAUCCCAGCUACUUGGGAGGCUGAGGCAGGAGAAUCACUUGAACCCAGGGGGCAGGAGUUGCAGUGAGCCAAGAUCACACCGCUGCACUCCAGCCUGGCAACAGAGUGAGACUCCAUCUCUAAAAAAA